CUGAAAAAUAAAUUUUUUAAAAGUCCUUUUUUACGAAAGUGUGGCAAAAGAAAACUCACAAGUGAGACCAGUGUAGCUAAACAUUCCAGUUUGUCGAAUGAUAUGAUCCCAGCUUCCUGGAGUUUUGAGAGCACUCAAAACGUCAAACAAAGCAGUUCUCAUUUGCUUGAUGCGAGAAGAUAUCUGUUGAAUAGACUGAAUCCAAAAUUCACGACGAGCU
ensembl:ncRNA C14E2.10 ncRNA